rnacentral:rRNA from 1 species
AUUGAACGCUGGCGGCAGGCCUAACACAUGCAAGUCGAACGAGUGGCGGACGGGUGAGUAAGGUCUGGGCAACUGCCUGAUGGAGGGGGCUAACUACUGGAAACGGUAGCUAAUACCGCAUACCAUCGGAUCUGCCCAGAGGGGAUUAGCUAGUAGGUGGGGUAACGGCUCACCAAGGAGACGAUCCCUAGCUGGUCUGAGAGGAUGACCAGCCACACUGGAACUGAGACACGGUCCAGACUCCUACGGGAGGCAGCAGUGGGGAAUAUUGCACAAUGGGCGAAAGCCUGAUGCAGCCAUGCCGCGUGUAUGAAGAAGGCCUUCGGGUUGUAAAGUACUGUCAGCAGGGAGGCGGUACCCGAAGAAGAAGCACCGGCUAACUCCGUGCCAGCAGCCGCGGUAAUAC